GCCUUCGUGGUGAAGUAGUGAGCAUGUUCGACGCGUAACCGAGAGGUCCGUGGUUCGAUUCCCGGCGAACGCG
rnacentral:tRNA from 1 species